AUUCAAGCGAUGACGGGUUUCAUUAAGCAGGUUAUCCCUUCUUCAGAGAGCUGGUGGCCGGUGAGAAUCAGCGAAUAUCAUCUGUGAAUUACACCCCUGAGCUUUUCGCUUUCGCCAGGAUAGCGAACGGUCCCCCGUUAUAGGCUAGAGAUGAAGAUCAAAUGGAUCUUUAAAGAAGGAUGGUACCGCGAUGCAAGAGUCGCUCCUUUU
rnacentral:ncRNA from 1 species